rnacentral:rRNA from 1 species
AAAUUGAAGAGUUUGAUCAUGGCUCAGAUUGAACGCUGGCGGCAGGCCUAACACAUGCAAGUCGAACGGUAACAGGAAACAGCUUGCUGAUUUGCUGACGAGUGGCGGACGGGUGAGUAAUGUCUGGGAAACUGCCUGAUGGAGGGGGAUAACUACUGGAAACGGUAGCUAAUACCGCAUAAUGUCGCAAGACCAAAGAGGGGGACCUUCGGGCCUCUUGCCAUCGGAUGUGCCCAGAUGGGAUUAGCUAGUAGGUGGGGUAACGGCUCACCUAGGCGACGAUCCCUAGCUGGUCUGAGAGGAUGACCAGCCACACUGGAACUGAGACACGGUCCAGACUCCUACGGGAGGCAGCAGUGGGGAAUAUUGCACAAUGGGCGCAAGCCUGAUGCAGCCAUGCCGCGUGUAUGAAGAAGGCCUUCGGGUUGUAAAGUACUUUCAGCGGGGAGGAAGGGAGUAAAGUUAAUACCUUUGCUCAUUGACGUUACCCGCAGAAGAAGCACCGGCUAACUCCGUGCCAGCAGCCGCGGUAAUACGGAGGGUGCAAGCGUUAAUCGGAAUUACUGGGCGUAAAGCGCACGCAGGCGGUUUGUUAAGUCAGAUGUGAAAUCCCCGGGCUCAACCUGGGAACUGCAUCUGAUACUGGCAAGCUUGAGUCUCGUAGAGGGGGGUAGAAUUCCAGGUGUAGCGGUGAAAUGCGUAGAGAUCUGGAGGAAUACCGGUGGCGAAGGCGGCCCCCUGGACGAAGACUGACGCUCAGGUGCGAAAGCGUGGGGAGCAAACAGGAUUAGAUACCCUGGUAGUCCACGCCGUAAACGAUGUCGACUUGGAGGUUGUGCCCUUGAGGCGUGGCUUCCGGAGCUAACGCGUUAAGUCGACCGCCUGGGGAGUACGGCCGCAAGGUUAAAACUCAAAUGAAUUGACGGGGGCCCGCACAAGCGGUGGAGCAUGUGGUUUAAUUCGAUGCAACGCGAAGAACCUUACCUGGUCUUGACAUCCACAGAACUUUCCAGAGAUGGAUUGGUGCCUUCGGGAACUGUGAGACAGGUGCUGCAUGGCUGUCGUCAGCUCGUGUUGUGAAAUGUUGGGUUAAGUCCCGCAACGAGCGCAACCCUUAUCCUUUGUUGCCAGCGGUCCGGCCGGGAACUCAAAGGAGACUGCCAGUGAUAAACUGGAGGAAGGUGGGGAUGACGUCAAGUCAUCAUGGCCCUUACGACCAGGGCUACACACGUGCUACAAUGGCGCAUACAAAGAGAAGCGACCUCGCGAGAGCAAGCGGACCUCAUAAAGUGCGUCGUAGUCCGGAUUGGAGUCUGCAACUCGACUCCAUGAAGUCGGAAUCGCUAGUAAUCGUGGAUCAGAAUGCCACGGUGAAUACGUUCCCGGGCCUUGUACACACCGCCCGUCACACCAUGGGAGUGGGUUGCAAAAGAAGUAGGUAGCUUAACCUUCGGGAGGGCGCUUACCACUUUGUGAUUCAUGACUGGGGUGAAGUCGUAACAAGGUAACCGUAGGGGAACCUGCGGUUGGAUCACCUCCUUACCUUAAAGAAGC